rnacentral:rRNA from 1 species
GUCUACGGACAUGCCACCCUGAACAAGCCUGAUCCCGUCUGAUCUUGGAAGCUAAGCAGGGUCAGGCCUGGUUAGUACUUGGAUGGGAGACCGCCUAUGAAGACCAGUUGCUGGAGGCG